rnacentral:lncRNA from 1 species
AGAGCCAGGGGGGGAAGAGGGACUGGCUCUCAGUAAUCCCACGUAAGGUACCUGCCGUCGGAAGAUUUGAACUUUCUACUUGGACAACUAACACCCACAGUCCUCCAGCUGCGUUCGGACCCGUCUGAUCGUAAAUCCCAUGUAAGGUACCUGCCGUCGGAAGAUUUGAACGUUCUACUUGGACACCUAAAACCCACAGUCCUCCAGACAGAAAGACAACAGGUACAAAGCCCUAAGGAUUAUAAAGGUAUGCUGCUUACCAUCAUCUUAGUGACCAAGGCAGCGAAGCUGUUUCUGUACCUUGGAACAGUCUUCCCUGACAAGCCAGAGAACAGUGAUAAAGCCACCAGCCUUGGGAUCAGGACUGAAAAGGCAAGAGUGAUGGAGAUUUCUCCUGCGCUAAGCCAAGAGAAGGUUUCAGCACUUCAGACAGCUCCCACCGAAGUAGCCGCGCUCCCAGCUGCUUGCAGAUGUUGAAAAGGAAAGCCUCGGUUUGUCUUGAGGUUGUCAGCAGGUGCAAGACACGUAAUAAAAUGCAAUGUGUUCCUAA